rnacentral:rRNA from 1 species
CCCUUAGAUGUUCUGGGCCGCACGCGCGCUACACUGACGAAGUCAGCGAGCAUGUCCUACGCCGACAGGUGCGGGGAAUCUUGUCAAACUUCGUCGUGAUGGGGAUUGAUUAUUGAAAUUCUUGAUCAUCAACGAGGAAUUCCUAGUAAGCGCAAGUCAGCAGCUUGCGUUGAUUACGUCCCUGCCCUUUGUACACACCGCCCGUCGCUACUACCGAUUGAAUGGUUUAGUGAGGCCUUCGGAUCCGCGAUUUUAUUGUGGAGAAGUUGGACAAACUCAGUCAUUUAGAGGAAGUAAAAGUCGUAACA